GCCUAAAUAGUUUAUGAUAAAAUAUGAUAUUGAAGCUGUCAUGAUGGUUUACCUUUAGGUAU
rnacentral:tRNA from 1 species